rnacentral:rRNA from 1 species
GACGAACGCUGGCGGCAGGCCUAACACAUGCCAGUCGAGCGGACCUUUCGGGGUCAGCGGCGGACGGGUGAGUAACGCGUGGGAAUAUGCCCUUCUCUACGGAAUAGUCCUGGGAAACUGGGGGUAAUACCGUAUACGCCCUUUGGGGGAAAGAUUUAUCGGGGAAGGAUUAGCCCGCGUUGGAUUAGGUAGUUGGUGGGGUAAUGGCCUACCAAGCCGACGAUCCAUAGCUGGUUUGAGAGGAUGAUCAGCCACACUGGGACUGAGACACGGCCCAGACUCCUACGGGAGGCAGCAGUGGGGAAUCUUAGACAAUGGGGGCAACCCUGAUCUAGCCAUGCCGCGUGAGUGAUGAAGGCCUUAGGGUUGUAAAGCUCUUUCAGCUGGGAAGAUAAUGACGGUACCAGCAGAAGAAGCCCCGGCUAACUCCGUG